rnacentral:rRNA from 1 species
UACGAAGGGGGCUAGCGUUGCUCGGAAUCACUGGGCGUAAAGGGUACGUAGGCGGCUUUUUAAGUCGGGGGUGAAAUCCUGGAGCUCAACUCCAGAACUGCCUUUGAUACUGGGGAUCUUGAGUUCGGGAGAGGUGAGUGGAACUGCGAGUGUAGAGGUGAAAUUCGUAGAUAUUCGCAAGAACACCAGUGGCGAAGGCGGCUCACUGGCCCGAUACUGACGCUGAGGCGCGAAAGCGUGGGGAGCAAACAGG